CCUACGGGAGGCAGCAGUGAGGAAUAUUGGACAAUGGGCGCAAGCCUGAUCCAGCCAUGCCGCGUGCAGGAAGACGGUCCUAUGGAUUGUAAACUGCUUUUAUACAGGAAGAAACACCCCUACGUGUAGAGACUUGACGGUACUGUAUGAAUAAGCAUCGGCUAACUCCGUGCCAGCAGCCGCGGUAAUACGGAGGAUGCAAGCGUUAUCCGGAAUCAUUGGGUUUAAAGGGUCCGUAGGCGGUUUAAUAAGUCAGUGGUGAAAGCCCAUCGCUCAACGAUGGAACGGCCAUUGAUACUGUUAAACUUGAAUUAUUAGGAAGUAACUAGAAUAUGUAGUGUAGCGGUGAAAUGCUUAGAGAUUACAUGGAAUACCAAUUGCGAAGGCAGGUUACUACUAAUAUAUUGACGCUGAUGGACGAAAGCGUGGGGAGCGAACAGGAUUAGAUACCCUGGUAGUCCACGCCGUAAACGAUGGAUACUAGCUGUUCGGAGCAAUCUGAGUGGCUAAGCGAAAGUGAUAAGUAUCCACCUGGGGAGUACGUUCGCAAGAAUGAAACUCAAAGGAAUUGACGGCUGAGACGAGCGAGACGACGACGAGGGAGGAGG
rnacentral:rRNA from 1 species